rnacentral:rRNA from 1 species
UCCAGACUCCUACGGGAGGCAGCAGUGGGGAAUAUUGGGCAAUGGGCGCAAGCCUGACCCAGCAACGCCGCGUGAAGGAAGAAGGCUUUCGGGUUGUAAACUUCUUUUCUCAGGGACGAAGAAAGUGACGGUACCUGAGGAAUAAGCCACGGCUAACUACGUGCCAGCAGCCGCGGUAAUACGUAGGUGGCAAGCGUUAUCCGGAUUUACUGGGUGUAAAGGGAGCGUAGACGGUUAUGCAAGUCUGAAGUGAAAGCCCAAGGCUCAACCAUGGGACUGCUUUUGAAACUGUCAAACUAGAGUACGGGAGAGGUAAGAGGAAUUCCUAGUGUAGCGGUGAAAUGCGUAGAUAUAAGGAAGAACACCAGUGGCGAAGGCGGAUGACUGGACGAUAACUGACGGUGAGGCGCGAAAGCGUGGGGAGCAAACAGGAUUAGAUACCCUGGUAC